rnacentral:rRNA from 1 species
UGCCAGCCGCCGCGGUAAUACGGAGGGUGCAAGCGUUGCUCGGAAUCACUGGGCGUAAAGCGUACGCAGGCGGUUUAUCAAGUCGGGUGUGAAAUCCCGGAGCUCAACCCCGGAAGUGCAUUGGAUACUGGCAGUCUUGAGUAUGGGAGAGGCAAGUGGAAUUCCGGGUGUAGCGGUGAAAUGCGUAGAUAUCCGGAGGAACACCAGUGGCGAAGGCGGCUAACUGGCUCGGUACUGACGCUGAGAUGCGAAAGCGUGGGGAGCAAACAGGAUUAGAUA